rnacentral:tRNA from 1 species
GCGGCCGUGGUGGAAAUUGGUAGACGCACCGCACUCAAAAAUGCGGCGCCUCCGUGGCGUGCCGGUUCAAUUCCGGCCGGCCGCACCA